GGAGGGCGAGAGGAGGCGGGCCGGUGACAAAGGUUGAAUGGAACUUGUGCAGCUGUUUUUUACCCUUGCAGUCUGCUGUGUGCCCGUGCUGCGGGUUGAGCGGUGCCGUUGUGCGGGGCGGACGUUCGGUGUGUGCAUGUUAUUUGGCCUGAAGCGGGAUAGAAUCCAUCACUCUCAGAAACCUGCCUUUCUAUAAACCUUUUUAUAGAUACAGAUAAGCCUUUUUAUAAGCUCCACAGAUGUUUUGUCUGUGGACUUCAUAUCCUCAGACCACUGAGAGGAAUGCAAGCUACAUAGAAGAAGAUACAAUAGAUGGGCUUAUAUUUUAGUUUAGCAACAUGAACUGCUUCUUCAAAGGAGCAUCAGGCUGCUCUGGCGCAAGGCUGUGAACUCUUCUGUGACACCAACCUUGUCCAUGCUUCCACAUUCCUGUGGGGAGGAAGAGGACCCAGCUCAGUCCUGCUCCUGCCCCCAGGCUUUGCAAAAUUGUCUCAAAUGCAAAUACCUUCUGGAGCCCUGUUGAAGAUCUGGUAUCUUCUAUUUGGCUGACUUCAAGAUCUGCUUAUGUGAUACUCUGCUCAUCUAAGAAAUUGUAGAUGUCACAUUAGGGUCACAGGACUACUAUGGAUCUCAGUUGCUGAAUUCAAUCUCCUGCUUCUAGGCAUCACCGUGCAGCAUAAUCUUCUUC
ensembl:lncRNA